CCGAAGGGCCCAUAAACUAGGCUUCAUUACAAAGCAUGUCCAUCAGUAAUUGGCUUCCAGAUCUGUGGAGAGUACUGGUUCCGAAUUUGGGGUUUUAUGUCUGAAAAUGAAAUUAUUUCGAGACGUCCACAUAAACUAGAGGGUGGUGGCCACCAAUUCCAGCGAAGGAAAGUUUCCUGAGUACCGUAAAAAUUGGGUAAGCCAGUUUUCCAUUCUGCUCAAACCCUAAGGAGAGAUUUGAAUGUUUAGGUUCAGAUUAGCCCAUGCAUCUCGCAUCCAUGGAAGUAGUAGAAAAAGAUGCUCACUCGUUUCCACAUGGUUCUUACACAGCGAGCAAAAGGUUUCGGGUACGAUUUUUCGCUUAUAUAAGUUUUCCAUGGUAGGGGAGUCCGUUCUGGCAUACAUUCCAUAUAAAGAUCCUGACUUUAGGAGCAGUUUGCAGAUUCCAAAUUCUGUUCCAUAGAACCCGAGGAACCACGAAGGAGGAAGAAGCCAUACUUGAUUUCAGAUUGUCCUCUUCGAGUCUGAGAGAGUUAUAGCCACUCUUCACCGUGUACUUUACCUGUUAAUGAAUUAGGCCCCACCUUUGGUCUCGAACUGAUUGGGUUCUCAGUGGGAUAGUGAGAAUUUCCUUAACAGUGUCUUCUUCGAAUCGGUUCUGCAGAAGAGAUUCGUUUCAUGUAUUCUCCUCCUUGUUUAUAAGCUAUGCUACUUGCACUGGUUCGCCUUUA